rnacentral:rRNA from 1 species
CCUACGGGUGGCAGCAGUGAGGAAUAUUGGUCAAUGGGCGUGAGCCUGAACCAGCCAAGUAGCGUGAAGGAUGAAUGCUCUAUGGGUCGUAAACUUCUUUUAUAAGGGAAUAAAAUGUGUGACGUGUGGUAUUUUGUAUGUACCUUAUGAAUAAGGAUCGGCUAACUCCGUGCCAGCAGCCGCGGUAAUACGGAGGAUCCGAGCGUUAUCCGGAUUUAUUGGGUUUAAAGGGUGCGUAGGUGGACUGUUAAGUCAGUUGUGAAAGUCUGCGGCUCAACCAUAGAAUUGCCGUUGAAACUGGCAGUCUUGAGUAUGGUAGAGGUAGGCGGAAGGCGUGGUGUAGCGGUGAAAUGCUUAGAUAUCACGAAGAACUCCGAUUGCGAAGGCAGCUCGC